UAAAACGACCGUAGACAGUAGGUGCCUUAGGCGUAAGUAUUAUUCGCCUACCGAGGAAGUGACUAAGUACUUGAUGUAUUAUCACUCUCUGUCUUUUAGUCAGAGAGUUUUUUGUU
rnacentral:sRNA from 1 species